UCCUGGCUCAGAUUGAACGCUGGCGGCAGGCCUAACACAUGCAAGUCGAGCGGUAGCACAGAGAUUAGCGGCUUGCUCUCGGGUGACGAGCGGCGGACGGGUGAGUAAUGUCUGGGAAACUGCCUGAUGGAGGGGGAUAACUACUGGAAACGGUAGCUAAUACCGCAUAACGUCGCAAGACCAAAGUGGGGGACCUUCGGGCCUCAUGCCAUCAGAUGUGCCCAGAUGGGAUUAGCUAGUAGGUGGGGUAAUGGCUCACCUAGGCGACGAUCCCUAGCUGGUCUGAGAGGAUGACCAGCCACACUGGAACUGAGAUUCCGUCCAGACUCCUACGGGAGGCAGCAGUGGGGAAUAUUGCACAAUGGGCGCAAGCCUGAUGCAGCCAUGCCGCGUGUAUGAAGAAGGCCUUCGGGUUGUAAAGUACUUUCAGCGAGGAGGAAGGCAUUAAGGUUAAUAACCUUGGUGAUUGACGUUACUCGCAGAAGAAGCACCGGCUAACUCCGUGCCAGCAGCCGCGGUAAUACGGNGGGUGCAAGCGUUAAUCGGAAUUACUGGGCGUACACGCAGGCGGUCUGUCAAGUCGGAUGUGAAAUCCCCGGGCUCAACCUGGGAACUGCAUUCGAAACCCUUCUGGCAGGCUAGAGUCUUGUAGAGGGGGGUAGAAUUCCAGGUGUAGCGGUGAAAUGCGUAGAGAUCUGGAGGAAUACCGGUGGCGAAGGCGGCCCCCUGGACAAAGACUGACGCUCAGGUGCGAAAGCGUGGGGAGCAAACAGGAUUAGAUACCCUGGUAGUCCACGCCGUAAACGAUGUCGACUUGGAGGUUGUGCCCUUGAGGCGUGGCUUCCGGAGCUAACGCGUUAAGUCGACCGCCUGGGGAGUACGGCCGCAAGGUUAAAACUCAAAUGAAUUGACGGGGGCCCGCACAAGCGGUGGAGCAUGUGGUUUAAUUCGAUGCAACGCGAAGAACCUUACCUACUCUUGACAUCCAGAGAACUUAGCAGAGAUGCUUUGGUGCCUUCGGGAACUCUGAUUCCCGUGCUGCAUGGCUGUCGUCAGCUCGUGUUGUGAAAUGUUGGGUUAAGUCCCNCAACGAGCNCANCCCUUAUCCUUUGUUNCCAGCGNUCCGGCCGGGAACUCAAAGGAGACUNCNNGUGAUAAACUGGAGGAAGGUGGGGAUGACGUCAAGUCAU
rnacentral:rRNA from 1 species